GAAGCGGAACGUUGCGAGUGUUUCCGAAUGGCAUUUUGCCAAUGGAUUAAAAUACAGUGAAGUUCAGAAAUUUAUUCGAAUUUCGUAUGUAAACAGUUCUUUGAACGAUAUGGAUUGAAAGCUACGAUACAUAUCGUUUAAGUUUUUUAAUUCUAUCAAAAUGUCACUUAGGUGCUAUUAUUAAAGAAUGUUUAUUUCUCAAGUUGGAGUAAGCUGUUUUGGAAUCUUUCGUGACAAUAUGAAAUAAAAUACAUAAAACUCAUGUUUGAGUGAACGCAUUAAUAUCGUGGGUUCACAUUCGAUUUGCCGGCAUUUCGAUCAACGAUGUUCGCAGUAUAGGUACUGUCAUGGACACAGAUGUAGAACUUGCCAAAGGUGAAGGGUGUGAAACUAGUCCAGGUUGUUCUGGCUAUUCUAGCAUGGUGCACAGUAAAAAAGUUAUCAAACAUGCAUUACGACAGCAGGCCAAGAGGCGUAGGAAAAAUACAACUAUUGCAGCUGGUAAUUCUCGUACUCUUCCAAGAAUUGUUGUUAAACCAUUACCUCCACCUCCACCAAAUGAUCCACCGUCUCCAGUCAAUAAUGUACAGCAUAUUAACACUACAACUGAAGAGCCUGCUGCCACAAUGAGGGAAGUUUUAGCAAGUUUGCCAGGAUUUAGUUUAAAACCUGGACGUAGACGAUCAACUAAAAGGUUGUCAGCAACUGCACAAUUAGAGGCUGGUCUUGUAGAUCUUGAGUCUCCAGCAAGUAUUCUAGCAAGUACAAGCUUACGUGCUCUUUUAAAUAGGCAUACUUUUCAAGGUUUACCACCUCUGUAUCAAAGAAAACUUGCACAGCUUUUACCAGCAGUAGAUAGACAGGAUGCUGCUAUAUCUGGACUGAAUAAUGAAUUCUUUGCAAGAGCUUGUUUAGAAUGGCGUAAGCGUUUAGCAGAGGGAGAGUUUACUCCAGAAAAUCAACAACGAUUGAAGAUGGAAGCUGAGAGAGAUAAGAAUAAGUUAGAUCCCUGGAAAGUGAAACAUUUUGAACCUAUAUGGGGUGAAAAACGUGAACCUAAAUUUCGAUCAGGUCUUCAUUGUAUUUUGGAAUCAAGAUCUGGAGGAGCGGUAACACGUUCAAGUUUAAGACUUCGUUUAGAAUCUAAUGUAGAUACACCUGUAUUGGAUGCUCCUUGCCCUGUUAUUAUAUCUGAAGAUAAAAUUGAAGAAGAUAACUGUAAAGUUGAAACAGGUAUAAAUAAUUCAGAUGAAUUGAAUGAUACAACAGGUAUACCAGAAUUGUUACCAGCACAUUAUAACGAAGCAACGCAUGCAUCAAUUGAUGAAAAGCAUAUAGAAUCUGUAAACAUAAGUUCUGUAGAAACAAUAGCAGACGCUGAAAUGCAUCAAGAUAAGUUAGAAGAAGAUGAUAAGGUUAUUAAUCUAACAGAAAAGCAAGAUACGAUCGAAGAAAAGGAAGCAGUAACACAAGUUUGCCAAGAAAAAGUUUCAAACACGUAUGACGACGAAAUUCAUUUACCUCAAAGUGAAAAGAGCCUUCAACCAAUGGAGAAUCACCUUCUUGAAGUAUCAGAAGAAGAUACGAUGCUUUUACCCGAAGAAACUACUUCGCCAAGAUCUAGUGAACAAAUGGAACAAAUAUCUCAUACAUCUAGAGAAACAUCGUCUCAAUUAUCGGUAGAAUGCACACCUCAGUCUUCGGUUGAUCAAGUACCUCAAAUAUCAAAAGAACAAAUAUCUCAAAUAUCGGAAGAACAAAUUUACCCUAUGUCCGACUGUGAAACCACAACUAUGCUCGAAACUUCACCACCGCACGAGCAAGUUAGGCCAACAGAAAUUGUGAUGGAAGAUUCUACCUUAAUCAAUAAUAAUCAAAGUGAAACAACUCAAAUUACUCACGAGAACCCAGCAGACGGUGAAUCACAAAUUCCCGAAGGAAUGGAGAUCGACAGUGAAACAUUACAACGUAUCCAUGAAUUGGAGGUAAGAGGAGAAAUGCGUGAAGCAUACGAAGAAAUUUCAGGAUGUCCCGAAGAAAUAAUGUACCCUAUACUUGAUGGAAUGGAAAUGGGAUCAAACAGUGCAGAAGAAACUGAAACACAAGUGGUUUCAGGACCGUCAGAAGCUCCUAGAGAUCAGCAAGAUGUAAAUAAUGGAAAUGAAGAUGAAGCUCUUAGAGAGGCUAAUAAUUAUGUUUGUUCUGAAAUGUUGGAAUGUAGUUGGCCAGUAGAUCCCACAGUUAAUAAUAUUAGUAAUAAUAACAGGACGCAAGAAGAACUUCAAGUUCCAUGGCCGUUAGUAGCAGCAGCUCUUGACGGAUCUGUAGCUGCUAACAUUACGGUAACUACUCAAGAUGAAUGCAAUGAUGCACCAACAUCAACCGACUCGACAAAUCCACCUCAACAGUUUAUCAAUGCGGAUUCUAACGUAGAAUCAAUGAAUUGUAUUCAGUUACCAGUUGUUCAAGGAACUCCAUUUCAGUCCGAAGGUCUUGCAAUUGGCACACCAGGCACGAGUUGUAUAAUGAAAAACUUUCAGUCUCAGAGUUCUCCUAUUAUUGCUUUUCCACAAUUGCAAUCGAUAAGAUUCGUGCAAACCAGUUUUCAUUCUGAUCAAAAUACUACCCCAACUUUGAACAGCACAUCUCCGAUUACGGCUCAGAUUCAAAAUCAACAGAACACGAGCUCGCAAGUGAAUAUAAUGAGAACGCAAGAGGAAAUCGUCCAAUUAAAUGCUCAAACUAAUAAUACACGGAAUAUUCGGAACAACGUAACACAGAAUCAAGUUUCGAACACCGUAACGGCGGCAAUUGGUGUACAACCUCAGAGUCGCGCACAAAAUACUAUCGUUAUUCAGCACCAAACGUCAGCUUCUACACAACCACGACAAGUUGUAGCAACUAUACAACAACAACAACAACAACAACAACAGUAUCCUGGAGCAACAGUCGCGGUGUCCUCGAGAUCUUCCCGCUCCAGUAAUCAAGGUAGUCAGAGAGGUUCUAGAAGUAGUAAUAAAGAACAAGGAGGAGGUAGAUCUCGUAGUAGUACAAAAGAACCACCUGGAGCUGUAAAUUUGGAGCGCAGCUAUCAAAUAUGUCAAGCGGUUAUACAAAGUUCACCAAAUAGAGAUCAAUUGAAAGCUCAUUUAAAACCUCCACCUAGUUUACUUGCCAGAGGUGAUGGCGCAUUCACUACUAAUAAAUCUGGUGGCCGUACAAUUACGACCGUCAAAACUCAAAAACCAUCACAAACAAUACAAAACAAACAAGCUCAAAAUAAAACACAGGCAGUUAUGCUGAGACAUGUGUUUGCAACAGCACGUCAAGCUACGUCAGCAGAGGUUCCAGAAAGCAAUACUGUAGCACAAUUAGGAUCCACGGCAACAAGCGGAUUAGGGCAAUAUAUACUUGUACAAAGGACAGGUGUUGGAGAUAGCGCGCCAAGAGCAUCCUCUGCUCCACCUCUACCUCCACAAAUAGCAGGGAUGGGUGUUGGAGUGCAUUUGGUACGUGGCAGACCAGCCAGCGCGGGAGAGGGUUCGCACCAAGCCGUAACAUUGAAAGCAAGGGGUACCGAUGGUAGAGGAGGAGGUGGUGCCGAACCUGGAGCUCCUGGUAUGAUAAUGGGUGGCGAUCCACCACCUCCAUGUGAAUGCAAUAUGCGAGGUGCUAUGGUAAUAUGUCGCCAAUGCGGCGCGUUUUGUCAUGAUGACUGUAUCGGGCCUCAACGUAUUUGUGCUACUUGUCUGAUACGUUAAUCAUUGUUUAAUGAUUGUUUCUGUAUAAAUUAGAAAAACCGUAUUAACCAGAGUGCUGAGUAUUAAAUUACGGAAACGUAGCAACAACAACUGGAAAUUUUUAUAUUUUCUUUGAAUUUUUAUUCAAACAUGUUGAACGAAUUUUAAGAUAGUUAAGAUUAUAUUUUCAGCUACCAGCCGAAUUUGUUGUUCAGCACUUUAGUAUAAGCGGUGAUUUACGUAAUUGAAAGAAUUAAUGGAUACAGUUGCAAUCAUUUCUAAAUUUUUUAAUCUUCAUUUUUGCUGUGAUUUUUCUUCAGUAUUAACUUACGUUUGCUUUUACAUAAAAAUGAUUUUAAGCUUCGUGAUAUAUUAUUGUAUUUGUUUUAUAAUGAUGGACAUUCUUUAAUCAGAUUUUUAUAGAAUUUAAUUUUGAGGAAAAUAAUCUUUUAAAAUAUUUUUAUGAAUGAUUUUUAAAAAAGAAGUAAUACUUUGAUCAUUUUUAAUAAUCGAAAUAUUACAACUGUAUUCUUGUAAUUCUUAUUGAAGAAAUAAAAAUAAAUUUUGCAGUCAGACUCUAAUACUGUCUUCCAGUAAACAUCACAUUCUUCAAUAUGCAACUUUACUAUUUAUUUAUUGACAGAAGUUUAAGUUUAUUCUUAUUAUAUAGAAUAGAUUCCUGUACAUGCUGAUCUCAAACUUAUUGCAAAUAUCAGGAAAUCAUUCUUACAUGCUCUCUCAUAAUAUUUUUUUCUUAAGUACAUCAUUUUUAAGCAUUAGAACAGAUUUUCCACAUUAUUAUGAUAGACCAUCUUGUACAGGAAUGUUGUUUGAGAUGAAUAUUGAUGAGUAAUAUUAUUUAUCUACGAUUAUUGCAAUCGAAAAAUCUGAUUAGAUACUAAAAUGUAAAAUUUAAAUAUUUUAGCUUUAUCUCUCACUUUGUUAUGAACAGUUUUCUAGAAUAGCAUUAGAUACGUUAUUUGCUUUGUGUUUGCGUGGAAAUUAAACAUCGUGAAUGAGGUAUAAAAACACAUAAAAGUAAUAUAAGUUUAACGGCUGGCAUUACAUUAAUUGUAUAUAAUUUGCAUUUCAGACAUUCAUUUUUUAAGUAUAUUUUUAUGAAAAAUAUCAUGAUUUUACAGACCCUCAAAGAUCGGGAUCCAUCAUGUAAUUUUAUUAUGCAAGCGUAGCUGAUACAUCAAUUACGAUUAUUACAUAUGUGCGUAUGAUACGUUAUGUCAUUAUCAUCAUCAUCAUCAUCAUCAUCGUCAUUUAUCUCGAUGGGGUAUACGUGAAAUCACGUUUACACGUAUUGAUAAAUUUUCAUAUUGAUAUGUUUCUUUGAAAUCAUUGAUAAGAAUACGCAGUAUUACUGCGAUUCGAUAGAAGAACUAUUGUGUAUUUAUCGCUCAAAUGUAAAUAAAAUCAUUCGUUUAAUGUGUAAAUUUGUUUGAUAUGCGCAGUGAAUGUGACGAAUGAAGUGCGAAUUUGAUGGUCGUGAGUGUUGCGAGAAUAAGCAACGUGCUGAAAAUAUAUAUGUACAUGUAUGUACGAAAAUAUUCUCUGUUUGAACAAACUAAAGUGUAGAAUUAACUAGACGACGCUUUAAUGAUAAUAAGAAAUCAGGAGCAUGCGUAAGAGUUGAGGCAAUAAAUUUGAAGAUUUAAGACUCUAAAUAAUUAAUAUCAACUUGAAAUUUUUCCUUUUAAUAAUUUUGACUUUUCUAUAAAUAAAGUGUUUUGAUGCUUGCCAUAAAAAAUAAAAAGAUAUGAUAAACUUUGGUUUGUAAAAAUUUCAAUGACUUGGAAUUUAAUAUAUAUAUUUGGUCAACUUCAUCAUAAAAACAAAGGUUUUAAUAAUUAUUAAUUGGCGUACAUAUAUAUUGCACAUAAAAAAUGAUAAAUUAAUAUAAUAAAUAAGUUCUUCAUUGUCAUCACAUAAAAUCCUCUUACCCUUGUAAUAUCAUACCAUUGUGACUCUGUUAUUAGGAGUUUUAGUUUAGUUUUAUUACAAUAAUAUUCUACAAAUAGAAUUUCACGUUUCCCUUUUUUCUGCAUAAAGUAUUGUAAUGCUUUGUAUUACAUAGUUUUCUUCAGAAAUCUGUCAUUGUACAUUGUUUUGAGGUACUAUAAAGUGUUAUUUUGAUUUUUGGCUGAAAACCAUUGAAAAUCUACCUGAGACUAAAAAAAUAAACUUUAUCCUUAACUGAAAUAAUCCACUCGUUCAUAGAGUUUAUCAAUGUACAUUCCAACAAAUUUUAUAGUUUUACUGUCAUGUAUACAAUUCGGUGCUAGCGUGUACCAGCAUUAAUCGUUAGUGCAAUUCGCAUUUUUCUUUUGUACUUUGAACCUUCACUGGUUAACGUUUGUACAUACAUUUUCUUUUGAAUAGCACUAAUCCGUGCAAACGAACAGCCACUUCAUUGUACUAAUUUCUCUAUAAACGUGACUGUAACAAGAGCCACUUUUUAAAUACAAUUUCCUUCAUAUCUCAAUUUGUUUUACCAUACAAUUAAUUUAUUUGAAAUUACAUUAGAUACGAAAGAAAACAAAGAAUUCCUGUUAGAAUUCGAUAACAACACUAAAUUAUAAAUAAGAUAUACAUCAAACAAUAAUAUUAUCACAAAAUUAAAUUUUACCACACGUUCGCAUGAAUCCCACAACAUAUAUAUAUAUACGUAUAUGUACAAUAUAAAGAAAUAUUAUUUUUUUCGUGAUUCCAUUGAAUUAAAUAAAUAAUUACAAUAAAUACUAGACAUACAAAAUAAUAAAUAAUAUCACAAAUAUUAUACAAAAGUUUAAAUUAACGAAUUUGAUUAGAACACGCUUAUAAUACAAUAAUUGUGCAUCCGACUUUGACCCUCUGUAUGAAAUAAAUACAUCUCUUAAAAUAAAUUAAUGUCAGGCGGACGCAAAAAGCGAUAAUUUCUUUUUCGGGGUUAUCAGAAUGUUUGAUUGAUUCUUUUACUGGUUAAAUAUAUGUGUGCUUAUGUAUGCGUACCUCUCAUCUCGAUUAGAUUAUUAGUAAAAGUUACAAAUAAAAGUAAAUAUGUCAAGAGCUGAAAAGAAUCAUUAAUAUGAAUAGAUGAAAAUGAAAUAAUGAUAGAACGCUAAUUUACCAUCGUGCAUUUGAAAUAUUCGCAUUAAUAGGAUAAUUUAUCGUAACUUGAUUUCGUCAUUGUUACGAGGAAACGAAUGUUCUGGCACAUACAUAUAGAUUAAUGUCUUAACAUGUUUACUUUUACUUUUACUUAUUGAUUCGCUUAUGAUAAAUUUCCUCAACUAAAGUUCACGUUAAAUGCGAUAUUACUUAGAUUUGGGGUUCACAACAAUGCGGGAGCAAAGGGAACAUAUAUGUAUGUACACAUUGGUAUUUGAGAAAAAUUAAUCAGAUUAAACAAGAAUUCUCAGUUUUUACGAACUGAGAAUGCACACAGCGCAUUGAUAAUAUAAUCGCUUCGUUUAAUUCACUUUUUAUUAUUACGAUAAUAUUAUUAGUAAUUAUUGAAUUGGGAAGCAAAAACAGUUCACCAUCAUUGAGGACCAAACGGAACAUUAGCCAUCAUAAUGAAACACUUAACUCUAACCAUAUCAUUUUUUAAAUUUGCAUGCAUUAACGAUCUACUUAAGUAUAAGCCUGAAUGUAAGUAGGUACGUAGACUAUAUUAGAUGCCACUGUGUGCCAAUUUCAUACUAGAUUCUCCUUUUAAAUUCCAUUUUCAUUUAAUUUUUCUUGCACACUAUACUUCCAACAUUUAUCAUCUUUAAAUUUCAAGUGAAAAGUUUUUUCUUUCUUCUAAAAAAUAAUAGAUUUCCCUUUAAAAUCAUCUGCUAUGUGUUUGAAAUAAUAAUAUAUAAUUCUCUGUCGCUAUUAAAUUUUAGAACCGAUACAUUUGGAUACAUAAUCGUAAUUCGUACGACUUGAUUCGCUCGUUGUUUCAGAGAUACUAACUAUUUAUAGAAGAUUAAUAGCAUACAGGGAACAAGAAGACACUGGUACAAGGAGAAUAGAUCUAAUCUACGUGCCUCACUUAUCGGCAUAACAGCAUUUUACCCAUUAUUAGAAUUAAAAACAAGAUGCCUCAUUUUUUUUUUUUUU